rnacentral:lncRNA from 1 species
CACCAUUUCAAUUGCACAUUUUUAAUAAAAUAAUAUUACACACAAGUUCAAAUUUUUUUUCUCAUUUUUUAAUCAUACAUUCUCCAUCAAUCUACUACUCCAAAAUACAUUAUUUCAAAUUAAUGUGGCUCAAACAUACACUAUAAUUACAUACCAAUGUAAAUGCAAUGCUAGAGGAUAGAUUGAUUCUUACAAAGCCUACAACGAGAUCACCAAAUGCCUUUCCCGAGUCAAUGCUAUUCAGCAGACAUCCAGGUUUAAACCAAUUUCUCCUACAACAUAGUACCUAAAAUAGUAAUCGCUAUAACCUCACUCUAGACACUAAUGGCUGUGACACCAAAUUAGGCCCAGGGGUAGAGAUGGUAAACUUGAAAUAAUCAAACGUUAAAUUUGAUCAAUUUGAAGAAUUAUUUUAUUGAAAAACAAAGUUUUGAUACAGAAGUUUGAUACAAAUAUUUAAUUGAAAGUAAAAAUGUUGGAUACAAAUACUUAAAAGCAAAUAUUUAGAUUACAAAGAAAUCUAAAACUUUCUUGAAAAAGUUUUUUCUCCCACUAAAAAACUCUUGAGGAGAGUUUUAAGUCUUGAUCUACAUAUAUAGUCGAUCUACUGACUUCAAAUUUAUUGAAUUAUUUAGAAGGAAUCUUUAAAUACAUCUGAGAUGUCUAUUAAAUAGUGCAAAAGUACAAUUAUUUUAACUUUUGAAGGACAUUACUUUGCUUUCACAUGAAGUGUCUUGUCUUGUCAUCUUUGAAUCUUUCAUAUGUACUUGAAAGGACAAUAGUUUUACAUGUCCUUGUUUUUGCUUUUGAUUGAUGGUAGGGCUGGUAGAAACAACUUUUGAGACGAUAAGCAUAAUUGAAAGAGAAUAUUCCUUGAGCUUUGAACCCUAUGUCUUCCGUAUUCAUCCAAAUACCUUGGUUUAUAUAGUCAUUAUGAAUUUUUUUUUUUUUUUUUGAGUUUCUUGAGCAAUUGAUGUUUGUUGAAUAGCGUCGAUCAACCCAUGUAACUAGAGUAGGUGUGUUUGAGUGGUCCUAUUGUAGGUUUGGUGAGAAUCAAUCUAUAGCAUUGUGUCUAUAGUGGUAAGUUAUUAUAAUUUCGUUUUAUUUAUUUAUAUCUUUAAUGUUAAAUUGGUUCAAAAGAACUAACAAUAGAUCUAAAAAACAUUACAAAUGCUUUUCAAACUGAAGAAGAAUUAGAUCAAGUAUCAUCUGUAUCAAAUGAUUUUAAUACUCAUGAUCUUUAAAUUGCCCAAAUUGAACAAAGACUUCAUAACUGGACUAUUUCAAAGGUAGGCAAAAGAUCUAUCUAUGAAAUAAGGAAAGUUUAAUUUUACUCAAAAUUAUGUUAUCAAAACUCUUGCGCAAACUCUUGCCAUCAAAAGUUAAAAUUCUUAUACAAAUUUGUUUUUAGAAGAAGCUAUUCAAUCUCAUAGGAAAAAAUUUUAAUAUUUUCAUGUGUGAUUAAUUCAAAUUGCUGUCAAACCAUUAUUCAGACUUGAUUUGGACAUUCAUAUUCUUUUAACUCUUAGAUAAAAGAGAUUUCUCAAAUUUAAAAGCUCAUUACUAUCUGUUCUAGAGUCAAAUCUAGAAAGUGAUCCUAUAUUUGCAAAUUAUUAUUCAAAAUUUUCUAUCAAUCUUAAUGAUGGAGCAAUUCUUAAUGCUCUAAAUCUUCAUAUUCAAAUUAAAAUCUUGAUUUUGAUGAUCGUUCAAAUGCAUUUGUUGAAAUAUAUAGAAUCUAUUACAAACUUAUGAAUACUCCACUUAAUAUUCGUGCUCUUCGCUCAUCUCUAAAAGAAGAGUCUUCUUGUUGAAGUUGACCCUCUUCAUUCUAAUACCAUGAUUUCAAAAAGGAUAUCAUGGAAUCUUCAAUCUAGAGGACUUGAAUGAAAUUUUAAGAAUGCUUAAAGUCCAAUUCCGGCUCUUGUUCAGAGUCUUCAGACUACUCAUAGUCAAAGUAUUUCUUUUCUUGAUGGAAAUGUUAAGAUGAUUUUCAAAGGAUUGUCUUCAUCUUUAUCAUCUAGAUUUCAAAAAUUUUACUCGCCUAGAUCUGAAGAUAGAUCUAAAGAAACUUCUUUUAAAUCGACUAAAUUUUCUACAUCUUUUUUAAUAGGUGUUUAUAUCAACCCACAAAUUUCAAACCUCAGUAUGGUAAUGAAGAUAAAAAAAGAAGAGUCAGAACAACCCGACUCACCAACUUUAUCAGAUAUGUUACCACCACUUUCAAAGAGACUAGAUCAACAUUGUAAUGUUAUUUCCUCCACUAUAGAUAGGAAAAAUGAAUUCAAAACGGAUCAGUCCAUUGACGUCAAAUAUUUUAGAAAAAAAUUCCAAAAACUUUUCAAAAGAAGAAAUUGAAUCUUUUUGGGAAGAAUUUUAAGUGUUUCCAAAAGAUCUAAAUUUUUAUGAGUAGGCUUAUUUUAAAGUUUAUAACAAAAAACUCGAUAAAGCAAGCUGUUCAAAAUACAAAAACAUUCUAAAAAAGGUUUGGAAAACACAUUCUAGUGAUACUAUCCAAUCUUUUCAUCUUCUUAUUCGAGAAAUCGUUGUAUCUCAAGGAAACACUGAAAUUCUUGCAUCCUUUCUCCAAAAAAAAUAAAAUAAAAUAAAAUAAAUCUACAAAACGAUUAGAUGAAUUUGAAGUUUUUGCCAUAAAUAUUAAAAACAUUCAAGCUCAGAAUAACUAUAUUAAUGUUAUUCUACAAUCUCUAUGUUCUACACUUAAAAGAAUUGAAAUAAAUUCUAAUUCUGAGGUAUCUAGUUCUUUCAAAUCUACCAAAAAGAAAUUUAUUAGUCCGACUUUACGCAAAUUUCAUAAAGUCACUCCUCAAUCUGGAAGUCUUAAUACUGAGGUUAAUGUUCUUAAAGAACUUGCUACUCAGUUAUCCAAAUUAUCUUCUUCCUCUACUUCAAAUAAUAUCACUACUAUCGAUGAACUUGAAUAUCAAUUUAUUGAUGAUGAAGUUUCUCAUAUCAAUAAAUUACGAGGUCAAAACAAUCAAUAUUAAAAAAUUCCUCCUUAUUAUCCUCGACAUUCUACUCCAUACUUACUCUUUGAAAAAAAAAAAAAAAGAAGAAGAAAAAGAAGCAAGUUACAUUUGAUGGUAAAAAUAUUGUUGAAUGGAAUAUUGACGGAGUAUCUGAAUAUCAGUUAGUUCAAUUACUUGAGAAAAUGGGUAUUUAUUAUAAUUCUUAUAUUAUUAACAAGAUUGGCAAUUUUCAAGCUACUAAUAAUUUAACCCUUGGUUUUACUGGAAAACUCAAAAAUUGGUGGUUUAAUUAUCACACCAGAGAAGAAAGAAAUGAUAUAGCUAACGUUGUUAAUGAUAAGGGUGACAACAGUAGUUUUGCUACUUUUGUUUAUGGUAUUAUCAAACAUUUUUAUUGAAAUUCCUACUGAUAUUAGGGAUAAACAUUUCGACGUUUUUAUGAACCUCAAUUGUCCUAAGAAUUAGCUCUCUAUAAAGGAUUAGCUCUCUGUAAUGAUCUUAAACUCAAAGUCAAAUUAAAAUCAGAAAGAUCUAAUAGUCGUAAAGAACUCGGAUCAUUCUGUGGACAAUAUGAAUUUGAAAAAAUUAUUCCUCUUUCAUCAAAAUUAAAAAGAAAUUUUUUCUUAAGAAAAUAUUUUUUUUAAAAGAAAAGAUUUUUCAAAAAUUCUAUCCAAAAUGUUCUUCCAAAAGAAAAUUUGCGAAGAAAAAUUUUUCAAAAAAAUUCUAAUGUCACUUGCUGGAAAUGCAAUCACUCAGGACAUUAUUCUAAUAAAUAUCGUAUGGAAUGGAAGGAAGAAUAAUCAAUCUUCAAAUUGAACUUCUUAAUCUUAUCAUCCCUAGUUCUAAUGAUAAAUCUAUUUUCGAUAUUGAACAAGUUUAUCAAUAUCAAGAAGAUUUUGAUGUUGAAAGUAGUUCAAACUCAUCCUCCUCUUCUAGUCAAAAUAAAGAAAUUUGUGGUUUCAAGACUAACAAUGUUUUUACUAAAGAAAGAAGAAAUUAUUAAAGAGAUUAUUGAUCAAGUUGAUGAUCUUCAACUCAAAAAUAAGUUCAGUGCUCUUUUACGUUCAAAUACUACUUCUGCGCCUUUCAAUAUGCAAACUUUCAUGAAUCGUUUUAAAAAAUGAGAAUUCAAAAAUAUGUAGUUCUGAUUUAAAAUCAAAAACUAAGAUUAUGAAAUCUCAAAUCUCUACCCUUGAACGUCAACUGAAAGAAGUACGAAUGAAAGUUGUACUUCUAGAAGCCAAAGAUUUAGAACGAGAAUAUGUUCAUAAAUCGUCUUCUUCAAAAUCCUCUUCAAAGUCUUCCUUUGAGGAAGACAAUGAUACUAAUGCUCAUCAUCAAUCCAAAGAAGAAAAGGUUAACAUUCAUGUAACUGACCGAAUUCAACUUAAAAAAUGGUAUUGCAAUAUGACUAUUAUAGUCAAUAAAAAAAUUCAAAUUCACUUCAAGGGUCCUUAUUGAUUCAAGUGCUGAUCAAAAUUGUACUCCGGAAGAAUUAAUCUACAAAAUAUUCUGAAAAAACUACAGAGUGUCUUUACGGUGCUAGUUUUAAGAAACUUAAUAUUCAAUACAAACUUUCUAAAGCAAAUGUUUGUAAUUCAAAUAUUUGUUUCAAAAAUAUAUCUUAUCUUGUAAAGGAUUUGGACCAAGAAGUAAUUCUUGGUACUUCUUUUAUUUUACUAAUUUAACCAUUUCUAGCGGAUUCAAAAGGACUUAUUACAAAUAUUUUU